CCGUGAUUUUCCCUCUUUGCAAAAAUUUUCUUUCCAUCCUGCGUUAUUUUCCUUCCAUCUUGCAUAAUUAUAUAUUGUGCAUUUUAGUCCCAAAUAUUAAUUUCAUGCAUUUUAAUCCUUCAAUUUUAAAGAGAUCAAAAUAUUAGUAGGUUCGCCGGAUCUUGUAAUUUGAAGUGCUACUAUUACAAGUUGAGAUUGUUAUAUUUUGGAAGACGAGUAUCAAAAGACUUUCAGAACCAAUGUAGGGCAUUAUUGUUUUAAGGAGCAAGAGUCGAACUCUUGCUUCGACCACUAUCAUUCUUCAUUCCGUUCAUUCUGUAAGUUGGAAUUUUGCCCAACUAUUUAUUCGCUAUUUGAAUAUAAAUUAUUGUACGGUAAAAUUGAUUUAUUUUCUCAACAAGAAGUAAUAACAGAAAGUUACUCCGAGAAUAUAUAUGAUGAAGAAAUGAGUGGUGCAUGUUCGUUGGCAUAUCUUUGGCUGACUUGGUUAUAGCAUUCACUCCAAAAUAUGUGACUCUGAAAGAUUAUGAUCUUACCACUUGAUAGUCUAGACUUCAAGACAGGCAUGACUAGGGUCGAAAGUGAAUGUGAAGGUUUUAUCUUGAAUGUACUUGCACACAGUUUGUUUAUGCCUUUCUAGAUGUGAAAAUUGCUAAGGAAUUAUGGAUAGUAAAUAGGGUUGAAUACACCGUAGGUCACCCAAAGUUGAGCAGAGUUGCACUCGGGUCACUCAUCUUCAAUUUGAUAUAAUCUAAUCACCUAACUUUGAUUUGCUUGCAAAUCCGACCACUCGCCUAUUGAGGACAGUCUAACUAAGGGAAUAUAUUGACCUAGAUCCCACCUGAUUUACAGAAUUUUUCAAAGCCAUACAUUAUUGAAAAAAUAUGUUCACCGCACCUGAUUUAACUUUUAUGGUUUGAAACAUUUGAAGUCUACCCAAUCUAAAAAAGAUGUUCACCAUACCUAACUUAACUAUCACACCAUGAAAUAGUCAAAGUCAUACCUAAUCGAGAAAAAUAAUAUUCACCACACCUGAUUUAACUUCCAUAGCCUGAAAUAAUCAAAGUCAUUCCCAAUCGAGAAAAGGAAGUUCACCGCACCCAAAUAACUUCCACAACCCCCAGAACACAACUUGACCGUUUUCUACUAUGAUUCCUCUUAAAAGUAUUAUAUAUGGAGUAUGUCAUUUGAAAUUUUAUUACCUAAAAGUGGUGAUGUUGUUGUCUGCCUAACAAAUUCACUGUAGUUACCUGUAAAUGCAUUCUUGAUAAUUUGAAUGUUGGACAUGUUUUCCCUAAAAGCUUGUUUAUAGCAACUCAAAAUUGGUAUUUGCAGCAACUUUCACUGAUAGCAUUCAUAAUUUGCUGCAGUGUCUUUGUUUAAUAUUUAAUAUGGCAUAGAAGUGACAACCCAAGAUCAAGUCUAACAUCCAUGGUUGUGAAAAUUUCGGCAGCAUAGCAUUCAAGAAAAUGCUUUCAUGUGACUUGGAAUUUUAAAGACAUACAGCAACCAUAUACACAUUUUCAGGAGAAAAUUGCAAAUAGAAUAACAGCCAUGAUAUAGAGAAGAAAUUUCUGUGGCUUCCUAAUUGCUUCAUAAGGUAAAUGGACAGUUCCUUAAUUUUUGUCAUGAUUAACAUAAAAAUAUUUCUGCUUCCAGGCGGGCAGCAUAUGUGUGUAGCUGUCUAAAUGACGCAUGCAAUAUAGUCAAAAGCUAUGAACUAGAGAUUACUAUACUAGCAACAAUAUCAUCCCUUGAGGUAUGUUUUUGGCUUCAUCUUUAUGGCCUAUAGUUAGACUUAUAGUUAACACAGUAUAUUCAAUAUUGAAAUGCCAUCCCUUAGACAAAGUUGGGUUGGUGACCAUGAAACCUCAGCUGGUAGAUGCAUGUAAAAGAAGAGCUUCUGUGGUUGGAUGUGAACUCGAGCCGAAUUGUGUCGACAAGAAUGAGCUUCUAACAGAUAAAAAGUUUGGGCACUGCUUUUGUCAAGAUCAUAAUUGAAUUCUGCAAGUGGAAACAUUUCAUUGUUAUCAAUCACGUUAGUGGUAGAAUUCUGUCCUUGUUUCUGUAAGUAUUAUGCCGUAG
rnacentral:lncRNA from 1 species